GAUGAAGAACGCAGCGAAAUGCGAUACUUGGUGUGAAUUGCAGAAUCCCGCGAAUCAUCGAGUUUUUGAACGCAAGUUGCGCCCGAAGCCAUUCGGCCGAGGGCACGUCUGCCUGGGUGUCACGCAUCGUUGCCCCCCCAAACUCCGGUUCGGGCGGGGCGGAAGUUGGCCUCCCGUGCGUGCCUGCGCGCGCGGUUAGCCCAAAAGCGAGUCCUCGGCGAUGAGCGCCACGACAAUCGGUGGUUUUUUUACCCUCGUUCCUCGUCGUGCGUGCCCCGUCGCCCGAACGCGCUCUUGCAACCCUUACGCGUCGCCUCGGUGGCGCUCCCAACGCGACCCCAGGUCAGGCGGGACUACCCGCUGAGUUUAAGCAUAUCAAUAAGCGGAGGGA
rnacentral:misc_RNA from 1 species